UGUUGCCCAGGUUGGAGUGCAGUGAUGCAGUCAUAGUUCACUGCAGCCUCAAACUCCUCAGUUCAAGUGAUCCACCUGCUUUGGCCUCCCACAGCGCUGGAAUUACAGGCAUGAGCCAGCACACUCGGCCAAGAAUCUCAUUUUUUAGCCUCACUUUUAAAAAAUAAAAUAGAAAGUAUACUGCAUAAAGAAAAAAAAUGUGCAGCUUCAUUAAGUUUCCCUUUUGAAUACACCCAUGUAACAAGCAUCCUGAUGGAGAAACAGAACGUCACCAGCAUCCUAGAAACCUUCCUUGGCUUCCUUCCAAUCAUGGCACACCUGUCUUCCAAAGGUAAAUGCUAUCCUGAUUUCUGCUACUGUAAUUAGUUUGAUCAGUUUUGGCACUUUAUACCAAUGCAACUGUUCAAUAUUUUAUUCUUCCAUGCCUUGCUUCUUACAUUCAACAUUAUGUUUAUGAAACCCAUCCAUACUGUGUGUAAUACAGAGUGUUUGUUUUCACGGCUGCAUAAUAUUCCAUUGCAUGAAUACUCCAAACAUUAUUUGCCCAUUUUACUGUUGAUAGACACCCUGGCCGUGAAGAGGAAAGUCCCAAGUGCCAUUGGGUUGUGACAGUACUGUGAGAGACUUUACCUAGGCAUUUAUGUCUUUGAAUUUUGCUUUGAAUCAUGUUCUUCUUUGAAUAUAUGUGUAAAUGCUGGCUGCUAAUUAAUAUAUAAGGUUGUCACAUGAGUUUAAAAGCAUUAUUUCAGCCAAGCGCAGUGGUUCAUGCUUGUAAUCCCAUCACUUUGGGAAGCUAGGCAGAAGAAUUGCUUGAGCCCAAGAGUUCAAGACCAGCCUAAGCAACAUAGCAGGACUUCUAUAAAUAAGAGCGUAUUUUGUGGAAAGUUUUACGGAGUGACGAGUAUGCUCUGUGCUCUUGGGGACCACUACUCCAGGCAAUUAAUUGUCCUGGCAACACCGUCACUUGGCAACACAGCCCCCUGGUGGCAGCCACCUGAACUGCAAUCUUACCUCAGAAAAAGUUAAUUGCUGUUUUUCAAACCGGGCAUUAUAGCAAGUGUCACAACCCAGGACAUAAUUUAUACUUAGACCAGUAAUCAUUUAUGUGAAUAAAAGUGCUCCAUCUCCAUGGCAUUGUAUCUAAUCAGGAUACAAGUCCAUCUCUAAAAUAAUGAUAAAAAUUUUUUAAAGAACUACCAUUUAUCAAGUACUUCCUGUGUCUGGUACCGUGCCACACCCUUCACAUACAGUAUUCAGCGUCAUCCCUCCAGCAGUGCUGCGGAGUGGCCAUUGUUGUCACCUUUUAGAGACAAGGAAGCAGAGGCUUGCAGAUGUUCAGGAAUCAUCUCAAGGUAAAUGGAGCCAGGAUGGCUUCUCCCACAAUCAUGAUCUCCUCUGCCCCCUGCGAUUGGAGGCACCUGGCUGUUCCACGCUCACUCAAGGUUCAUUCCCACAGACCAGCCCCCACCCCGAGGAGGGCUGGAGUCAGAGAAGAGCUCACUUUUUCUCCUGUGGCUCUCUGCUGGGAGGCACGUACUUCUAGUUCCUCUUCCCUCGUCCAUACCGCCCAGGUGGACAAGUCGUUUUUCUGCUAGUAGAAGCCCAAGGCAUUGUUCGGGGCACAUUGUACUAGCGCCUGGGAUUCAUGUGGGUGUCUUCCCCAUCUUUCUGUGCCCAGGCAGUGUCAGGUUGGCCUGUCCUCCGCCCCUCCUUGACUGCUCAUGACCAGGUGGCAGGUAGAAUAACCAACUUGCCCCACUUUGCCCAGGACCUUCUCCAUUUUUGCACUGAAAAUCUCCCAUCUCAGGAACCCCCUUGGCUCCAAACAAGCUGCCUUUCCCCCUGGAUCUUGGGAAAGUCAGGCCCAAAUUGCACCACAGAUUCAGCUGUCCUAGAUCCUGUGAGAGGAUGAGAAACUCGUUAGGCCUCCUGGCUUAUGAUGCACUGGCCAAUCCAGCAAACCAGAGCUCUGCGUUGGGAUUGAGGAUUAACAGGUGCUUG
rnacentral:lncRNA from 1 species